rnacentral:lncRNA from 1 species
CCUAGAGGCCAUGUCACUUAAGGGGAGCCUGAACCCUGAGGUAGGUGCAGGUCUCAGCUGAUAACCUGAGAAUAACUGGAGCCUACAGAAGGGAUCUCCGGAGGCUAGCUCAACUAGCCAGGAGUAAAGCAAGUGAUGGAAACAAAAGAUUUCCUUCCAAUUAGUUUUUGUGCUUUACUUCUCUCCUGGAAUUAAGUGCCUGAGCUUAUGUCUACCUUAAAAGGUACUGCUGCCUAAUAGGAGCACUUCCUUUAACGAGAGAGUUGGUUCUGAGAAGGUGAUUCCACUGCAGCAGAUCCUGUUUGCAGUUACAGGACACUCUUGAAGUGCACCCACUGUCUGCACUGCAUUUGAAAGACCACUCUCCAAGAGCACUCUACAGCCUGUAUGAAAGCACAGGUCUGAAGCAGACAUCCAGAGUUCAUACUUUUGGUUACAUCUAGAUGGCUAUAAAAUUUAAUUAUAAAAACCAAG